CUGGGGCUCAACUCCAGAAUUGCCUUUAAGACUGCAGCGCUUGAAGCCAGGAGAGGAUGGUGGAAUUCCGAGUGUAGAGGUGAAAUUCGUAGAUAUUCGGAAGAACACCAGUGGCGAAGGCGGCUCACUGGACUGGUAUUGACGCUGAGGUGCGAAAGCGUGGGGAGCAAACAGG
rnacentral:rRNA from 1 species